CCUACGGGUGGCUGCAGUGGGGAAUAUUGGACAAUGGGGGGAACCCUGAUCCAGCCAUGCCGCGUGUGUGAAGAAGGCCCUCGGGUUGUAAAGCACUUUCAGUGAGGAAGAACGCCUGGUGGUUAAUACCCAUCAGGAAAGACAUCACUCACAGAAGAAGCACCGGCUAACUCCGUGCCAGCAGCCGCGGUAAUACGGAGGGUGCGAGCGUUAAUCGGAAUUGCUGGGCGUAAAGCGCGCGUAGGUGGCUUGAUAAGCCGGUUGUGAAAGCCCCGGGCUCAACCUGGGAACGGCAUCCGGAACUGUCAAGCUAGAGUGCAGGAGAGGAAGGUAGAAUUCCCGGUGUAGCGGUGAAAUGCGUAGAGAUCGGGAGGAAUACCAGUGGCGAAGGCGGCCUUCUGGACUGACACUGACACUGAGGUGCGAAAGCGUGGGUAGCAAACAGGAUUAGAUACCCGUGUAGUC
rnacentral:rRNA from 1 species